UCGUCGUGGGUUGAUAAAAACUUGCACAAUUUUGAAGAGUUCAACUCACCAGGAACCACAACAUCACAAACAUGAAAAGAAAUAACUUUGAUUAUAUUUUGACAAUUUGACUGGAAUUAUGAAAUGGAAAUCAAUCAAUUCCAUUUGAUUCAAGUCACAACUGAGAAAUGAAAACUGAAGGGAGCACCGGAUUUUGGAACACAGGAAAAUAUUACCAUUACAAAAUCCUCGCAGGAAGAAACACAAGUCUUUCUUUGAGAUGGAGUAUAAUUUAUUUAAGAUAAUUCCAUCCAUCCUCAUUCAUGAGUUUGCGGACUUCAACUCACAUUCUAAAGAUGCGGAUGAAAAGGACAUAAAAAUGUAAGAUGUCAUCAUCAACCAGUCAAUGCAGCAUUGAGCGCACUGUGAACAUCCACUCCGAUCUGAGCUUCCGCCUUCUCUAGGUCAGUCGAGGCUGAUCCAAGCUUGGCAGUGAAUUCAGCAAGACCUUUCUGGACCAAGCUUUGGUCAAUCUGAUCAAGGGGG
rnacentral:lncRNA from 1 species